ACCUACUUAACUCAGUGGUUAGAGUAUCACUCUCAUACAUCGAGAGUUAUUUGUUCGAAUCCAAUAAUAGGUA
rnacentral:tRNA from 1 species